GAUGAACGCUGGCGGCGUGCCUAAUACAUGCAAGUCGAGCGAACAGAUGAGGAGCUUGCUCCUCUGACGUUAGCGGCGGACGGGUGAGUAACACGUGGAUAACCUACCUAUAAGACUGGGAUAACUUCGGGAAACCGGAGCUAAUACCGGAUAAUAUAUUGAACCGCAUGGUUCAAUAGUGAAAGACGGUUUUGCUGUCACUUAUAGAUGGAUCCGCGCCGCAUUAGCUAGUUGGUAAGGUAACGGCUUACCAAGGCAACGAUGCGUAGCCGACCUGAGAGGGUGAUCGGCCACACUGGAACUGAGACACGGUCCAGACUCCUACGGGAGGCAGCAGUAGGGAAUCUUCCGCAAUGGGCUAAAUCCUGACGGAGCAACGCCGCGUGAGUGAUGAAGGUCUUCGGAUCGUAAAACUCUGUUAUUAGGGAAGAACAAAUGUGUAAGUAACUAUGCACGUCUUGACGGUACCUAAUCAGAAAGCCACGGCUAACUACGUG
rnacentral:rRNA from 1 species